GUUUCUUGUACAUCGUUUGAACUUCCACAAGUUUGAAUUGUGAGAGAUGACUAAAUAUGCAAAUUGAUACAACAUGAUAUUUCAGGUUCAUAUUAAGGAGAGGCAACUUAUCUAGGAUUUAUUUAUCGUCCAGUAGGAUUUAUUUUUGUUUCUUUGAGUAUUUAUGAUAGUCUUUGUAAACCUUCAUGAAAAAAACGUACUUAAGUACACUAACUAAUAUAUGUAACAGUGGAAAUUCACCUAGUUUUCAGUUCUCCGCAAGUUUUCAAAACAGCUGCUGUACGAAGUUUGGAUACUCACGGGCUACUACUUUGGCUUGGCUUCAUACAAAACGAAAUAAGAGGUCAGCUUGUGUCUCAAAUUAAUUAUU